rnacentral:rRNA from 1 species
GCUCGUAGUUGGAUUUCGGGUGGGUCUUUGCGGUCCGCCUCUGGUGAGUACUGCUAAGGCCCAUCUUUCUGUCGGGGACGGGCUCCUGGGCUUCACUGUCUGGGACUCGGAGUCGACGUUGUGACUUUGAGUAAAUUAGAGUGUUCAAAGCAAGCCUACGCUCUGAAUACAUUAGCAUGGAAUCACAUGAUAGGACUCUGGCCUAUCUUGUUGGUCUGUAGGACUGGAGUAAUGAUUAAGAGGGACAGUCGGGGGCAUUCGUAUUCCAUUGUCAGAGA